ensembl:lncRNA
AGGAUGAUGAAUGGACCCCCAAAUAUUCUAAUAUUUUUUAUAGCAAGUAAUGUUAGGCUGCUUUCUAGUUAGAAGCCACACAUAGGUGGGGUAACGGACUCUUGUGGCUUUGAAUAUCUUUACGUGAGCCAGCCUGACCACUGGUGUUGAGUCACGAGCAAUUUAAGAAUAAGGUUCAAUGACAAGGGGAGUAGCCAUAGGGGCUGCAUCUGCUGUGGCUGCUAGAAGAAAGUUUGACCUCCCGGAAAACGUCCUAGCAACUUGAUCGAAAAGUGACCUAUAACCAAACACAAAUUAACAGCAGCAGCAGCAACAGCAGCGCUGGAUUAUGAUAACUUGGAGUGCUGGAGAAAGGGAGCUGAGAGAGGAACUGCUUGCAGCAGGAAGUAGAGGUCAACACAAGAUUUCGGGGGUUUUGCUCUCUAAUGGACCCGCACGAGGUUCGAUAGACCAGAAGUCCAUCAUGAUCCACAAACAUCUGGAAUAAUGACCGGAGUCUACGACUAAGGACGUGGAAUACAUUCUGCUGAUCUCAGAGGUAAAUAAGUUAUCCUGAUUAAGAAGAACGGAGCCAAACUUUCAGCAAGCCAGAGCCUUACAACAGCCUGAAAAUAGUACUUACUGUGCCUUUGUUCUGAUGGGUAUCAUAUUUUCUUUUCUUUUUUUUAAUGGAAAAACACUUCUUAAAAUAGGAUGAAAAUAUUCUACACAUUAAAACAUGUAUUUAUUUC